rnacentral:rRNA from 1 species
AUUGAACGCUGGCGGCAGGCCUAACACAUGCAAGUCGAACGAGUGGCGGACGGGUGAGUAAUGUCUGGGAAACUGCCUGAUGGAGGGGGAUAACUACUGGAAACGGUAGCUAAUACCGCAUACCAUCGGAUGUGCCCAGAUGGGAUUAGCUAGUAGGUGGGGUAACGGCUCACCAAGGCGACGAUCCCUAGCUGGUCUGAGAGGAUGACCAGGCACACUGGAACUGAGACACGGCCCAGACUCCUACGGGAGUGAGCAGUGGGGAAUAUUGCACAAUGGGCUCAAGCCUGAUGCAGCCAUGCCGCGUGUAUGAAGAAGGCCUUCGGGUUGUAAAGUACUUUCAGCAGGGAGGCGUUACCUGCAGAAGAAGCACCGGCUAACUCCGUGCCAGCAGACGCGGUAAUUC